rnacentral:rRNA from 1 species
GGAAUGUCAACGCGAGACGGUAGCCGGCCUGAGAGGGCGACCGGCCACACUGGGACUGAGACACGGCCCAGACUCCUACGGGAGGCAGCAGUGGGGAAUAUUGCACAAUGGGCGAAAGCCUGAUGCAGCGACGCCGCGUGAGGGAUGACGGCCUUCGGGUUGUAAACCUCUUUCAGCAGGGAAGAAGCGAAAGUGACGGUACCUGCAGAAGAAGCGCCGGCUAACUACGUGCCAGCAGCCGCGGUAAUACGUAGGGCGCAAGCGUUGUCCGGAAUUAUUGGGCGUAAAGAGCUCGUAGGCGGCUUGUCACGUCGGGUGUGAAAGCCCGGGGCUUAACCCCGGGUCUGCAUUCGAUACGGGCUAGCUAGAGUGUGGUAGGGGAGAUCGGAAUUCCUGGUGUAGCGGUGAAAUGCGCAGAUAUCAGGAGGAACACCGGUGGCGAAGGCGGAUCUCUGGGCCAUUACUGACGCUGAGGAGCGAAAGCGUGGGGAGCGAACAGGAUUAAAUACCCGGCGUAGUCCACGCCGUAGAGGGUGGGAACUAGGUUUUGGCGACGUUCCACGUCCUCGGCCCCGCAAAUCACUUACUAAGUUACCGGCCGAGGGGGACCGGGGA